rnacentral:rRNA from 1 species
UUAACGGCCGCGGUAGCCUAACCGUGCUAAGGUAGCGUAAUUUCUUGCCUUUUAAUUUGAGGCCAGUCAAUGGUCACACGUGGGUUAAGCUGUCUUUUACAUAUUAUUAUGAAAUUAUUUUUUAUGUGAAAAACCAUAAAUAAAACUGAGGGACGAGAAGACCCUGUAGAGUUUCAUUGAACCGCGCAGUGUUAUGCAAAAAUCUGGCACUGCCGCACAAUUUAAUUGGGGCAAUUAGGGAACAAAUAACUUCUCUUAAUAAAUUAAUCUACGAAAAAACUACCUCAGGGAUAACAGCAUAAUGUCACUGGAGAGUACACAUUAAUAGUGACGAUUAUGACCUCGAUGUUGGAUUAAAUAUUACGUUAAAGUGUAGCCGCUUUUUACGCGGGCCUGUUCGGCCUUUAAAAUUUUAC